AACGCCCUACGGGGCGCAGCAGUGGGGAAUAUUGCACAAUGGGCGAAAGCCUGAUGCAGCAACGCCGCGUGAAGGAAGACGGUUUUCGGAUUGUAAACUUCUAUCAAUAGGGAAGAAAGAAAUGACGGUACCUAAAUAAGAAGCCCCGGCUAACUACGUGCCAGCAGCCGCGGUAAUACGUAGGGGGCAAGCGUUAUCCGGAUUUACUGGGUGUAAAGGGAGCGCAGGCGGCGCGGUAAGUCUGAUGUGAAAGCCCGGGGCCCAACCCCGGGACUGCAUUGGAAACUGUCGUGCUGGAGUGUCGG
rnacentral:rRNA from 1 species